rnacentral:lncRNA from 1 species
CAGGAACAGCACAGCAGUGGCAAAUUGUUUUCGUACCCCCAUGGAGCAGAGAAAACAUUUUCUUGUUUUUUAAAAAACACUAAUAUUUUAAAAACAUGAAGAGAAAAGCAAGAAUAUCUCUUUAGCAGAGCAGAGUAAGAAGCUUAAAAAGCCCCAACAUUUCCACAGCUGGCCACAACUACAGAGGGGGCAUCAGUCACCAUGCACGGAGGGUAAACUCAGAGCUCAGCCUGCCCUUUGGCCAAGAUGGUAACAGUAGAGAGUUUAAAUGUUUUGUUUGUUUUGUUUGAUGCGUGUGAAUGUUUUGCCUGCAUGCAUGUGUUUAGUGCCCACAGAGGGCAGAAAGGGCACCAGAUCACCUGGAUCUGGAAUCACAGAUAUUUGUCAGUCACUAGGUAGGAGGUGUGAAUUGAACUUGGGUCCUCUACAAGGGCGGUCAGUGCUCUUAACCAGAUCCACGUCAGAAUUUCAUUCUACUAUAAGUACCAUGAACAUCCUAAAGCCGACAGGCAGCUUCAUGAUAUCUUCCAUUUUUGAAUGGUAACACCACUAGAGAAGUUUGGUAAAUAUGUCAGAAACACCUGGCUUGGUUGCUGAGCUAGAAGCUGCAGGCACAGAGGUGUGUCUACUGCUGCUUGCUGUGAGGACUGGGUCCAAGUAGUCAGGAAUCAGAUCUUGGAAGUCGGAAGCCAGAUCAUCACUGCCGAAUCAUAAUUCACCAGUUCAGCUGCAUUUACAUAGCACUAUAUCCAAUGAUCCAAUGACCAGACCCCUCAAGUUCCUGCACUGUGACCUCCAAGCUCUGAGGGACAGCAACACGGAAUGAUGGGCCGAAAUAAAACCUUUU